rnacentral:rRNA from 1 species
GACGAACGCUGGCGGCGUGCUUAACACAUGCAAGUCGAACGGAAAGGCCCUGCUUUUGUGGGGUGCUCGAGUGGCGAACGGGUGAGUAACACGUGAGUAACCUGCCCUUGACUUUGGGAUAACUUCAGGAAACUGGGGCUAAUACCGGAUAGGAGCUCCUGCUGCAUGGUGGGGGUUGGAAAGUUUCGGCGGUUGGGGAUGGACUCGCGGCUUAUCAGCUUGUUGGUGGGGUAGUGGCUUACCAAGGCUUUGACGGGUAGCCGGCCUGAGAGGGUGACCGGCCACAUUGGGACUGAGAUACGGCCCAGACUCCUACGGGAGGCAGCAGUGGGAAAUAUUGCAGAAUAGGCGGAAGCCUGAUGCAGCAACGCCGCGUGCGGGAUGACGGCCUUCGGGUUGUGAACCGCUUUCGCCUGUGACGAAGCGUGAGUGACGGUAAUGGGUAAAGAAGCACCGGCUAACUACGUG